AGUGAACGCUGGCGGUAGGCCUAACACAUGCAAGUCGAACGGCAGCACAGUAAGAGCUUGCUCUUACGGGUGGCGAGUGGCGGACGGUUGAGGAAUACAUCGGAAUCUACUUUUUCGUGGGGGAUAACGUAGGGAAACUUACGCUAAUACCGCAUACGACCUACGGGUGAAAGCAUGGGAUCUUCGGACCUUGCGCGAUUGAAUGAGCCGAUGUCGGAUUAGCUAGUUGGCGGGGUAAAGGCCCACCAAGGCGACGAUCCGUAGCUGGUCUGAGAGGAUGAUCAGCCACACUGGAACUGAGACACGGUCCAGACUCCUACGGGAGGCAGCAGUGGGGAAUAUUGGACAAUGGGCGCAAGCCUGAUCCAGCCAUACCGCGUGGGUGAAGAAGGCCUUCGGGUUGUAAAGCCCUUUUGUUGGGAAAGAAAAGCAGCAGGUUAAUACCCCGCUGUUCUGACGGUACCAAAAGAAUAAGCACCGGCUAACUUCGUG
rnacentral:rRNA from 1 species